GACGUAGGGUCCAAGCGUUGUCCGGAUUUACUGGGCGUAAAGAGCGCGUAGGCGGUCCGUUAAGUGUAGAGUGAAAGCUCCGGGCUCAACCCGGAAAUUGCUCUGCAUACUGGCGGACUUGAGGAUGGAAGAGGUUUGUGGAAUUCCUGGUGUAGCGGUGAAAUGCGUAGAUAUCAGGAGGAACACCCAUGGCGAAGGCAGCAAACUGGUCCAUAUCUGACGCUGAGGCGCGAAAGCGUGGGUAGCAAACAGGAUUAGAUACCCUGGUAGUCCACGCCCUAAACGAUGGAUACUAGGCGUAAGAGGUAUCGACCCCUCUUGUGCCGCAGCUAACGCACUAAGUAUCCCGCCUGGGGAGUACGGCCGCAAGGUUGAA
rnacentral:rRNA from 1 species